GAACGCUGAAGAGAGGAGCUUGCUCUUCUUGGAUGAGUUGCGAACGGGUGAGUAACGCGUAGGUAACCUGCCUUGUAGCGGGGGAUAACUAUUGGAAACGAUAGCUAAUACCGCAUAACAAUGGAUGACACAUGUCAUUUAUUUGAAAGGGGCAAUUGCUCCACUACAAGAUGGACCUGCGUUGUAUUAGCUAGUAGGUGAGGUAAUGGCUCACCUAGGCGACGAUACAUAGCCGACCUGAGAGGGUGAUCGGCCACACUGGGACUGAGACACGGCCCAGACUCCUACGGGAGGCAGCAGUAGGGAAUCUUCGGCAAUGGGGGCAACCCUGACCGAGCAACGCCGCGUGAGUGAAGAAGGUUUUCGGAUCGUAAAGCUCUGUUGUUGGUGAAGAAGGAUAGAGGUAGUAACUGGCCUUUAUUUGACGGUAAUCAACCAGAAAGUCACGGCUAACUACGUGCCAGCAGCCGCGGUAAUACGUAGGUGGCAAGCGUUGUCCG
rnacentral:rRNA from 1 species